rnacentral:tRNA from 1 species
ACCCCUGUAGCUCAGCGGACAGAGCAGCGGCCUCCUACGCCGUCGUGCGCCGGUUCGACUCCGGCUGGGGGUA